rnacentral:misc_RNA from 1 species
AACGCACAUUGCGCCCUCCGGCAUUCCGGAGGGCAUGCCUGUCCGAGCGUCAUUUCUGCCCUCCAGCGCGGCUGGGUCUUGGGCGCUGUUCCCCCGGGGACACGCCCCAAAGGCAGUGGCGACGCCGCGUCGAGUCCUCGAGCGUAUGGAGCCUAGUCACCGGCUCGGGACGGACUCGCCGGCUUCGGUCUUCCCCGAUGGGCCUUAGGGUUACUCACGGUUGACCUCGGAUCAGGUAGGGCUACCCGCUGAACUUAA